GUGGGAACUGGCUCAAUUCAGCCACCAAGAAAAGGAGGCAAUGAAGUCCAAAUCUUUCUUCACGCAGCACUUUAAAAUGGAAGCACCAAUGCUGGCAUCAGCAGAGUCCUUCAAAGAAUUUGAUUCAGUGGAGGCCAACUCAACAAAAUAGAAAGCCCCAGAUGGACGGCCAUUGGCUGCACCUGGAGCAGACAAUUGAGAGGCCUGGCUCAUGGAUGGGUUUGAACCACCUCAGGACUGAAGAUGAGCGGCUCAGUUUCACUAACAACAAGAACAGUGACAAAUUCCCUGCCCGGCCAAAGUCCUGUGGUCCUUAUGCAGGCAUAGCAAAGGCCUCAGGAAUGGGAGCAGGGAUUUCAAACACUGGUCCACACAUGGCCACAGUUUUCUGUGUGACUUUGAAUGAAUCAAGGCCCCCUUUCUGGAUCUCUGUUUUCCCGCCUCUAAAGAGACUGCAUUAGAUUAAAUGAACCUUGAUGCUCUGCCUAUUUUGAAAUGCCAAGUUCUUUCUCUAGGAGUGGGCAUAUGUUUGUGCCCAGCUGUCCAUUCCUAUUCACCGUCUUACCAUUACUUUUUU
rnacentral:lncRNA from 1 species